GGCAUGAAUACUACAGCGUUCUGUGUCGACUUCGUCUGGACGCGGACAUUUCUUCAGACGAGGAAAAAAAAAGAAGGAUUGUUUGUUCCUCUAUUCUUCAAUGCUGAUGACUGUGCAGAAAAGUCGACCUCUUGUUGAAGAACUAUGGACCAUCUGACUAGUCAUCCAGUUUAACACUGCAUUGAGGACACUACAAGCAGAGAGGUACAACAUAAUUCACAAUGAGGCACAGAUGAUAAUAAAUAAGUGUGUUGAAAUGAAAACUAAUUAUGUUAAGACAGAACCAGUACUGUGACUGCACCUCACUUCAAAGUGAAACGGGCUGUAAUGGUCAUCUGCCACGCCAGAUCGGACGUCUCACUCACAAGGAUUGCGGUCUACUAGAUAUUAUGUAUUCUCCUCAGAGUCAGAAAGGAUUACACUGGUGCAGCACAAUUCUCAAGUUGUCUGACGUGGAUGUGAAGGUGGUGUCCCUUACGUGUGAUGGUCCAUCAACACAUUUUCUAUGUUCAAGGACCCUGGAGAUCCCUGUGGAAACAGCAUAAAAUGGGAAUAUAUCAAGUCCUUAUCAUAUAAGGACUACAUCUAGGCAACAAACUUAGUUCAGCUCAUAUAGAUUGGCAAAGUCAAAAAUUGAAGCUAAAUCUUGCUGUGCAGACCAUUAGCGCUAAUGUUGCAGAUGCUCUCAGGUUCUGUCAGAGACACCUGCUGUUCCCCCAGUUUGUGUGUGAGCCAACAUGCAAAUUCCUGGAGAUUUUUGACCGGCUUUUUGAGAUGAUGAACUCCAGAAAUACUAUUGGCAGGGGAUUUAAAAGCCCACUCAGACAAGCUAAUGAGAGAACCAGCAUGGCCUUCUUAAUGGAAGCUUACAAUUCCAUCAUUGGAUUAAAGGAGACGACCCCUUGUGAUAACAGACAAGAAAACUGCCUUUCACAGCUUCCUGGUGCCAAUAAAAAGUUUCAAACAAAUAUAUAUGACACAUAUGUGUGACCACCAACAUCACAGUUACAGUACUUGCUGACCUACAAAUUUAGCCAAGACCACCUUGAGCUGUUUUUUGCUGCCAUUCUCACAGCUAAUGGAUGUAACAACAAUACCAACCACAGCAAGGCAGUUUAAGUCAGCAUUCAAAAGAAUGGUAGCGAGACAUGCCAUCAAAACCAUUGGAAACUCCUCCUCACUGGACAGCACAGUAGUACUAUAGGCUACACCUUCUGAAAUGUUACAAAUUCAGAAAAGUGACACACAACCAAAAAAAAAAAGAAGAGAACUCAGAAACAUACAUCCCAAGCCUUCCCAAUCUGUCCAUGUUCAAAGAGGCUGUGGUUGGUUACAUAGCUGGCUUCGUAGCUAGAACAGCUAUGAAGAAGAUUCAGUGUAGCACCUGUUUAUCAGCACUCAGUGUUGAGAGGAGUUUCUUACAAGAUGAGCUUGGGCACACCCUCAUGGACAUGAAGUCCAGAGGUGGACUUGUCAGGCCAUCAGACAGUGUCCUACAAGUCUGCAAAAUAUCAGAGAGGUGCAUUCAACAGCAAAUUUAAAACCAGGCUAUUCACACAGGUUCAGGAACGCCAUAGUGGCUCUGCGUUCAAGGAACUUGAGGCACAUGUUCAACCUGGAACCAUACAACAACCGUGUUUUCAUUCUCAUUAAGUUCAUUGCAGACAGCUACACCAAUAUCAGGCUCCACCUCCUGGCAAAUGAAACAUCAUCUGCAUCACACUGUAAAAGGCUGCGCAAAACUCUGGGCAAGCUUGUUAUGCACAAAAAUCAAUAAGAUAUAUAUAUCAUUUUCAACUGCCAGUAAUCCUCACCUCCAUUAAUUCAAUAAAAAUAAACCUUUAAUCUUUAAUGUUGACCAUGGCUGUCUCUCUUUUAUUUGUAAAUAAAGUUAUUCGUUAAUAUGUUAAAUAUUUUUUUAUAAGAGAGUGUAAUAGUUAAAAAACAGUUACCACAGUAUAUAUUGAGCAAUGCAGUGUUAUAGCUAGUCUAUUGUAAUGUUAGGAAAAGUAUUUACAUUGUAAUAUGGCAAUUCAUAGCAUCAUUUUCUUAAUGCAACAAUUCAUCACCUUCUUCUUAUUUGUGAAUAUCUUCAAUGAAUCAAGGCCGGUCGGUGUGUUAUCAUUUUGGUUUUUGUAAAAAAUAAACAGUUAAUGAAGUUUUUCAUUGUUAUUGUUACCUUAAUUAGUCUAAAUUAAUCUAGCAAGCAAGUGGUAUUUCAUGUAAUAACUGUACAAUGUGAAUAAAGUUGUUCUCAUACUUCACAAGUAUCAAAAAUCUAUUAAGAAUGAACACUAGAAGAACAAGUUGGCAAUCCAAGUUUCUUAAAAUAAUAAUCUUUUGUCAGUGCUGCAUGGCACAUCUUAAUCGAAGGACAUUACGUAACAUGACCUCUCUUAAGAAAUCCUUCUUUCUUCAUUUAAAGGGCAGAGCACGCUGUCAACCAAGACCAGAGACAUCCUAUUGACGUGGAGGGAUUUAAAACUGGUGUUUCGUUAGGCAAUGUUCUCUCAUUAAAAUCGUACAAUUUCCUAUUAAUUUAAUAGAAGAUUUACAAGCACUAGCGAUUACCAAUAUGGCGGCGCAAUGGCUUCACUUUCAUGCUGUCUUGAGCAAUCCAGUUCUCAGUGAUUUAAUCCAAUUUAAUAAAACGGAACGUUCCGAUCCUUGAUUCUGAUUGGCUGAGCCACGUUCGAAGCUGUUGUACAUUACACUACAAACAUACACCUUUGUUUACUUCUGUGUGUUGCUCUGUAACCACUUUGUUGGAACCACAACUGUUUCUGAGGAACUACUUUGUUUGGUGGAAGAAUACGGAAUUAUUUAUAUCAUUACACUUUAUUUGCUCUGUUAUAUUCUGUGAAACCUAACUACGUAUAUGGAAUAACCGUUUUAUAAAAGCAAUAAGCCCCAUGAAGCAUGAUUUAAAGUGAAUUUAUAACAGCUAAGGGGUGCCGUUAGGUAUGACAAGAUCUCACUCUCUGUGCUAUAUGAUAUUCUCUUCUUCGUCUUCAUUUACUGUUUUGUUUGAAACAUAAAACGUUUAGUAGUGCAUGUUUCCAACUUGCCCGAGAACUGAACACGCUUGAUCUUCACUACACACCCGCAGAAACCCGUGUGAACUUAAGGUAUCAGACCAAAGCCUCUGGUGAGAAACGGAUAUCGAAACUCUGGUCAUUUUUGAGCGAGAUGCUAACGGUCGAAUCUGGUUCAAUGAUUUAUGCUAAGCUAAGCUAACAGUGUUACCGCCAGAUCCAGAGAUUCAAUGGAUUCGAUAACAGUGAAACUCAACUGUUUAACUCUAGGGCAGUUAGAAAAUGAGCCUAUUUUCAAAAAAGAGGAGUGUUCCUUUAAUAAGCUCCUUUAAUAAUUUCUUUUUUGUUUUAGUUAUGUGAAUAAUAUCAACACUGAAAUGUUAUUUUAAGGUCAAGUAUCAAAAGACGCAGCCUUUUUAAUUCAUAUAGAGGAGUAUAUUUAUUGGAAAUUAAUUAAUGUAUUUGUUUUCAUUUUAAUGUGUUGUCAUGUGUUGUCUUAUAGUUUUGUCAAUACAACUCCAACAUUUAAAUGUUGGUAUAUGAACCAGUAACAAGACACACCAUUUAAGUUUACAUAUCAAACUGUGUACAUUCUAAAUUAAUUUAUUUAAACUUAUGAAUGUCAAAACAAGUGCAAUGUCUUCCUCUAGGGGCGGUAAACUGCACAAUGUAUGUAAAAUGUUUUGCAAGCUUUUUUCUCAAUUGUUCCAUUUCAAUAGCUUUUGUUGUGCUCUAGUUCUGUGAAUAGAAUCAACAUCCACAUUUUCUUUAAAGACCCGGAAAAAAGACACAACCCUUAGAUCAGUUACAAAUUAUCAUUACUUACCUAUAAGGCCCUAAAUGGUUUAGCUCCUGCGUACCUAACUAGCCUUCUACCACGCUACAACCCAUCACGCACCCUAAGGUCACAAAACACCACUAAAGGAGGUAGAGCUUUCUCACAUUUGGCUCCCAAACUCUGGAAUAGCCUUCCUGAUAAUGUUCGGGGUUCAGACACACUCUCUGCUUAAAUCUAGAUUAAAAACAACUCUUUCGCCAAGCAUUUCGAAUAAUGUAUCUUAAACUGUGAGUAUAGUUGCAUUCUUAUUCUUUAGCUUGGGUUAAACUAAUUAGUUUUACUUUGUUGGAACAGCCGCUAUGCUAAUGAUGUCUCUAUUUGUUUCUCUUUUUAGACACAGAUUUACACAAGAUCCAGUCUGGAUCCAGAAAACCUGAGAAGAGCUGAUGCUUACCCUGAAACAACAAACAGAACUAACAAAUACAUUUACUGACAAUCACCACUUACAAGUUACUACUAAAUUUAUUAUGAAUAUACAUUGUACAGCUGCAAUGCUUUGUAACGUGAAAAGUGCUAUACAAAUAAACUUGAAUUGAACUGAA